AUUGAACGCUGGCGGCAGGCCUAACACAUGCAAGUCGAACGGUAGCACAGAGAGCUUGCUCUUGGGUGACGAGUGGCGGACGGGUGAGUAAUGUCUGGGAAACUGCCUGAUGGAGGGGGAUAACUACUGGAAACGGUAGCUAAUACCGCAUAACGUCGCAAGACCAAAGAGGGGGACCUUCGGGCCUCUUGCCAUCCGAUGUGCCCAGAGGGGAUUAGCUAGCAGGGGGGGUACCGGCUCACCUAGGCGACGAGACCUAGCUGGUCUGAGAGGAUGACCAGCCACACUGGAACUGAGACACGGUCCAGACUCCUACGGGAGGCAGCAGUGGGGAAUAUUGCACAAUGGGCGCAAGCCUGAUGCAGCCAUGCCGCGUGUAUGAAGAAGGCCUUCGGGUUGUAAAGUACUUUCAGCGAGGAGGAAGGCGAUACGGUUAAUAACCGUGUCGAUUGACGUUACUCGCAGAAGAAGCACCGGCUAACUCCGUGCCAGCCGCCGCGGUAA
rnacentral:rRNA from 1 species